rnacentral:rRNA from 1 species
AUUGAACGCUGGCGGCAGGCCUAACCCAUUCAAGUCGAACGAGUGGCGGACGGGUGAGUAAUGUCUGGGAAACUGCCUGAUAGAGGGGGAUAACUACUGGAAACGGUCGCUAAUACCGCAUACCAUCGGAUGUGCCCAGAUGGGAUGAGCUAGUAGGUGGGGUAACGGCUCACUGAGGCGACGAUCCCUAGCUGGUCUGAGAGGAUGACCAGCCACACUGGAACUGAGACACUGUCCAGACUCCUACGGGAGGCAGCAGUGGGGAAUAUUGCACAAUGGGCGCAAGCCGGAUGCAGCCAUGCCGCGUGUAUGAAGAAGGCCGUCGGGUUGUAAAGUACUUUCAGCGGGGAUGCGUUACCCGCAGAAGAAGCACCGGCUAACUCCGUGCCAGCAGCCGCGGUAAUUC